ensembl:misc_RNA
CAGGGCCGGUUGCUUUUGCAAAAUCUCUCCCCGUUCUUGGGACAGCAGCACUAGUGAGUGUAGCAAAAUUAUCCAAACCCAGAAGGGCUUCGUUUUUUAACUUGUAUACUGUUGCAUCUUUGCCAGAAGUUUUUGCUUUUCUGAAAGAAUG